GGGAAAGAGGUGGCUGUCAGUUGUUAGUAUUGCGUAAUACUUACGAUGUGGAAUGCUGCUUUGAAACUAGAAACCUCUGAGAGCGGCAGUAGUGUAUCUCCUUUAGAUAAAGCGACAUGCAAGAACGCGAGCAGAUAGGUAUAAAGCUACCUGACAGCGGCAGCUGCGCUGUCCUCUUUCCAUCUUUUACAUAUCGUGUGAAUCGAGAGAGUUGCAACAAUGGAAAUAUAACGUCGCGGUGUAUCUAUAGGUAGACGGGAUAUUGUAUACCUGCAACACAACUUUGAACAUAUCUCUGAAACUGCACACGUUCACGCAUGAACUAGAUUUCACGCAUGCUCAAUUCCCCCGUUAAAACCAACCGUACGUAGACACCAGGUUGUUACCCACCUACCUACCUAACUACUGCCUACUCUCAAUAAAACCCAGGCGUAGGUUGAAACUAAAAAUUUAUUGUUGAUCACUUGCAACGAUUAUAUUGCAGAAUCGCGAGGUCUCGAUUUAUGGACAUGUACGUACCCCACUACUUCAUGUACGAAAUGACUACUGUGCGCUGUUAAUUUGAUAAUUAAUAUCGAACACAACGAAAUCCGACGCGUUUGUGUAAUAAAAAGAAUAGCGUUAAAUGUCUGAUUACUUUUUCCUUUCCUUUUCUUUUUUUUUUUUUUUUUUUUUUUCGGUGUUCUUCUAAUAAUAAAUCAGAGGCUGAUAUAUCUGGACAACUCCGAGAGUUGUACGUACGUACCCAAAUAGAAUUCUAUCUAUAAUUACUCUGAGGUAGAGUAAUUAAUUUCUCACUUGCGCGAUACUCACCGGGAUAGUUCGAAUGAUUUCACGUGUUUUUUUUUUUUUUUGUUAUAAAAUACCACAAACCGAGUGGGUAGCGCGAGUUAUAAGUUCACGUAAUAGGAAAUUCUUUCAAUCGACCGGCAGACAUCGUGAUUAAUUAUCUAAACCCGUAUGACGUGUCAUUCAAUUGCCGAUCAUUAAUAUCGACCACGAGUUGACCAACUCCACCUGCCCACGAGCAAUGUUCGACGCCGACGAAUCUUGGAUGAUAAGAAAAAGAAA
rnacentral:misc_RNA from 1 species